rnacentral:misc_RNA from 1 species
GAUGAAGAACGUAGCGAAAUGCGAUAAGUAAUGUGAAUUGCAGAAUUCAGUGAAUCAUCGAAUCUUUGAACGCACAUUGCGCCCGCCAGUAUUCUGGCGGGCAUGCCUGUUCGAGCGUCAUUUCAACCAUCAAGCCCCCGGCUUGUGUUGGGGACCUGCGGCUGCCGCAGGCCCUGAAAACCAGUGGCGGGCUCGCUAGUCACUCCGAGCGUAGUAAUACAUCUCGCUCAGGGCGUGCUGCGGGUUCCGGCCGUUAAAAAGCCUUAUUUACCCAAAGUUGACCUCGGAUCAGGUAGGAAGACCCGCUGAACUUAAGCAUAUCAAUAAGCGGAGGA